CACAGCCUUGUCAAAUUCAGUGCCUGCCUUCUCGGUGGUGGGCACCCGCCUAGCCGGCUGCCACAGCAACUCGUGGGUCCCGUCGCUCUCGCCAGCGGGCUCUGGGGAUAAAAGCAAGCUACAGACACCC
rnacentral:snoRNA from 1 species